AGUCUGUGGAUUAGUGGCCGAUGGCUACCUUGACCUUAAGACACUUGGGGGAAAGUCGCCGCCGAUAACCGUCUUCGGACGUGAUCAGUGGUUGGUAUCCUCCUCUUGCGGGACGUAUGGCGCAACCGAGGAACGUCUUUCGAAGUGAGGGACCUUCUUCGUGGUGCGGCGGACCGUUCUGUGGGGAACUCAGUGGGGGCAAACGGAUAGUGAGUGCGGAGGUGGGCGCCGACAGGCAUCCCCCUUUGCAUUCGCUACGCUGCACCGUCUCGGUGUGGCGUCUCUCAGUGUACAUUCGGCCUCGUUCGCGGGGUGCCGGGGGGCGUGCCCCUCGCUACGAUAGUUACCUGGUUGAUUCUGCCAGUAGUCAUAUGCUUGUCUC
rnacentral:misc_RNA from 1 species